UAUUCAAUUUUUAAAAAAAUGACUACCCAUCUGCACUUAAAUUGGGUGGAUUACUAAUAUAUCUCAAACUACUUUUGAAAUCACAUGAAAAUGUUGUGGUCACCAAAAUGAAAUGUUACCUUAGAAGCAUGAAAAAUGGAUACAUGAUUGUAGCUGUUGUGAGUAAUAGAUGAAGUGAGACAACCACCUGCAAAACAUGUAAGUUGAACAGUGUUUUAAACUUAGCAGAAGUUAGAAGGGUUUAAGAAAUAUAUAAAAGAAGAUUAGAUCAAAUGCUGUGAAUAAUAAAGCAAAGUUCAUAGGCCAAAAGUACUCAUUCUACCAACUAGAUUUAGUCACUAAAAUGAUAUACCAAUCACCAAAAAAAAAAGGAAAGAAAGAAAAACAUGGUACAGUAAUACUGCAAUCAAAAUUCACUAAUAAGCAGACUAACAGACUUUUUCUUGACAAAGCUCAUAGUGGUGGCAAAACGAACAACAUAUGAAAUAAUCAAAAUAUUGCAUGUGCCAGGACCCAUAGUGCAGUAAUCUGUUAGAUCGUGCAUGUGAAAUGAAGAAUCAUGAAGGAAGAACCAAUAUAACAUCCAACAAAGUGAAAAUGGCAUGUAUUGCAGGGUAAAGAAAAAAUAAAAGAAACAAAAUGCACAACUGUAAAAGCAUAUAUGAUACAAUAAUCAUUUUUACUGCAGAUUUACACACUGAACUUUAAGCUGUAUACUCCUUGCAGCAAUUCUUAAUUUAUCAGCAAGUAGGAACUGUUGAGCAAGUAGUUCAUCAUGAACUAGUAUAGAUUCUACAAUUGACAUUUGAAGUAAUGAACAUGGGGCAUGCUCUUUAUAAAAUGAUAUGGAUUGACCUUGGUUUAAGUAUAUUUGAUAGGGGAAGACAAUCCUGAAUUAACUGAAUGAGAGAAAGUAUUCAUAAAGCAGGCUCUGAGUAGAUAGAGUCAUUUUUAGCUUCAUUAAGUUAAUGUAUACACUUUUUAAUCAUAACUUUAAAGGUGUAGAACAUGCACUCAUCGCAGAUACAUAUAAAAGAAGGCAAUAACUGUUUUAAUAUUUGGAUACAACAGUUUGAUGCAAUAUAACAAUAAUUAAAUGGGCAACUGGCCAAAAUAGAUUAUCUACCUACUGGCCUGAUAAUUCCUGAUUAGAAAGGAUAAGUUGAAUUUGACAUGGGACAUUUAAUAGCUAAUGGCUGAAGACUAGUUACAGGUUCAGAAAUUAACUUUCUAUAUGCCAACUUUUCAACCAUGUAAGCACCAAGAGGGAAAACAGGUAGAGUGAGGCUGUCAUUUACAAAUAUUAGAGGAAUGCCAAGUCAGAAAACAAGAUGAAGAAUUUAGUAACAUUCUCAAGAAAAACAAGAACAAUAACUCCAGAACCUACAUAUAAGGAGUGGCCAAUCUCUCAGAAAUCUUGAACUGAGAAAAAAAAAUCCACUUCCUAUUAGUAAACCAUACUGCAAGAAAAGGAGAAAAGAUCAACACUACUCUGACAAAGCAGAUACAAACAUGAGGCAGACAAGAGGAUACUUUUUUGGCCGGAAUAAGGUAUGGAAAUUCAGCAAACCUGCAUCAAGUUCUCAAUAAUAAGCCUGCCGUUCUGCAAUCAGAACUGCUACAGAAAGGUUGAAGAGACCUGCAUGGCUCUGCCAU
rnacentral:lncRNA from 1 species